UACGUAGGGGGCUAGCGUUGUCCGGAAUCAUUGGGCGUAAAGCGCGUGUAGGCGGUUCGGUAAGGCCGCUGUGAAAGUCGGGGGCUCAACCCUCGAAUGCCGGUGGAUACUGUCGGACUAGAGUACGGAAGAGGCGAGUGGAAUUCCUGGUGUAGCGGUGAAAUGCGCAGAUAUCAGGAGGAACACCAAUUGCGAAGGCAGCUCGCUGGGACGUUACUGACGCUGAGACGCGAAAGCGUGGGGAGCAAACAGG
rnacentral:rRNA from 1 species